GCUGUGUAGUGUAAUGGUUAGGGAUUGGGCUUAUAACCCAAGGUUGCAGGUUCAAUUCCUGGAAAGGGCA